AUUGAACGCUGGCGGCAGGCCUAACACAUGCAAGUCGAGCGGAUGAAGGGAGCUUGCUCCUGGAUUCAGCGGCGGACGGGUGAGUAAUGCCUAGGAAUCUGCCUGGUAGUGGGGGAUAACGUCCGGAAACGGGCGCUAAUACCGCAUACGUCCUGAGGGAGCAAGUGGGGGAUCUUCGGACCUCACGCUAUCAGAUGAGCCUAGGUCGGAUUAGCUAGUUGGUGGGGUAAAGGCCUACCGAGGCGACGAUCCGUAACUGGUCUGAGAGGAUGAUCAGUCACACUGGAACUGAGACACGGUCCAGACUCCUACGGGAGGCAGCAGUGGGGAAUAUUGGACAAUGGGCGAAAGCCUGAUCCAGCCAUGCCGCGUGUGUGAAGAAGGUCUUCGGAUUGUAAAGCACUUUAAGUUGGGAGGAAGGGCAGUAAGUUAAUACCUUGCUGUUUUGACGUUACCAACAGAAUAAGCACCGGCUAACUUCGUG
rnacentral:rRNA from 1 species